CUACAAAGUAGUUCCUGUUUCGCUCUCAGAGGUUUAUUUACUCCAGUGCAAUAUGAAGUUCCCAACCCAGUCUUCCUUUGACCGGGUGAUGCCUCUCCUGAAUGUGGCAGUGGCCUCUCUCCACCCACUGACUGAUGAGCAUAUCUUCCAGGCCAUCAAUGCUGGGAGCAUUGAAGGCACACUAGAAUGGGAGGAUUUUCAGCAGAGAAUGGAGAACCUCUCCAUGUUCCUAAUCAAGCGCAGAGACAUGACUCGUAUGUUUGUACAUCCUUCUUUUCGAGAAUGGCUUAUCUGGAGAGAAGAAGGAGAGAAAACCAAAUUUCUCUGUGAUCCGAGGAGUGGUCACACGUUACUUGCCUUCUGGUUUUCCCGCCAAGAGGGAAAACUAAACCGACAGCAGACUAUUGAACUGGGACAUCACAUCCUCAAAGCACACAUUUUUAAGGGUUUGAGUAAAAAAGUUGGUGUAUCAUCCUCCAUCCUCCAAGGUCUCUGGAUCUCCUAUAGCACAGAAGGUCUUUCCAUGGCACUGGCGUCUUUACGAAAUCUCUACACUCCAAAUAUAAAGGUCAGCCGACUGCUGAUUUUGGGAGGUGCCAAUAUUAAUUACCGGACAGAGGUUUUAAAUAAUGCUCCAAUUCUAUGUGUUCAGUCCCAUCUUGGUUACACAGAAAUGGUAGCCCUGCUGCUGGAGUUCGGGGCCAACGUGGAUGCCUCUUCUGAAAGUGGCCUGACUCCCCUGGGAUAUGCUGCAGCAGCAGGGUACCUGAGCAUUGUGGUGCUGCUGUGCAAGAAACGGGCCAAGGUACUGGCUGCCCAGCUCUGCUGCUUUUCUUCCCUUUUUCUUUAUUUUCGAUGCAUACUCUUUCUUAUCUCCAGUGUUACUUCAUGAGUCUGGGUAGAGUAUAUCAAACCAUGAUGGAGAGCAGAUCAGAGAGAGUGCUGGUUCUGCAUAUGUGCAGGGCCACUGCCAUCCAUCCUGCAGGAGCACACAGUUCUAAACCCUUUGAGAGGUGCUUGGGAAACUGCAUUUAUCAGUAACCACAAAAAGUUUCUACAUAACAACCCAGAAAUGAUCUAUUGAGCUCAGAAGAAGCCUCUUUUUAACAAAGAGAGGAAGGAGAAGUGAGGAAGCAAGGAGACUGCAGUGGCAGGUCUGGACCAAAUGACACCUGCAGGCUCUAAGCCUUUCAUGUGUAGAGAAGAAAACUUAGCCAUGGAGAUGAGAACAGGACCAGACACCUUCAUCCUGUCCUUGAAGACCACCACUCUAGAGAUAAGGGAAGAAGAUGAUUCUCCCUAUUUAUACUCAGACUGACCAAGGGCACCUCGAAGUGCUUCUGUUAGUACUGAUCAGUUCUCUGAAAACAUUUCCAAAAUAUGUUUGCUUUAUGUAUAAAAACUCGAUUUCACAAUAUUGGUGAAAAGAAAAAUGCUGGUCUCACAAAUGUGGGCCUCUGGGAAAAAAAAAUCUGGCCUCAUAGUAUUUUGUUUCAGUCCUGAAAACAAACUGAGGACUUUAGUGGUUUCAUAGUGAAAUACAAGUCAUAGUAUGACUUCAUUCUGCAGUAUUCAGUGCUGUUACCAGGGGAGAAAGUGGGACUCCUCCACUCCUUUGGGAACUGAGACGUAGGCCUCUCAGUGACAUCUCAGAGCCUUAGAAGUUUACUGUAGCACAGUGAUUGUGCACCUGUGACAUCCCAUUCAUUUGAAUGGACACCUCUAGGAACAAUGAUAACUGGGCCUCGUUACUAUUUUCAUUUUCUUUUUAGAGACAAAGUCUUGUUCUGUUGCCUAGGCCAGAGUGCAGUGGCAUGAUUGUAGCUCACUGCAGUCUUCAGCCUCCCCAGUAGCCAGGAGUAUAGGUAUGCGCCACCACACUCAGCUUUAUUUUUUUCCUAUUUUGUAGAGGCAGGGUCUUGCUAUAUUGCUCGGAGGUUUGCUAAAACUCCUUGGAUCAAGAGAUCCUCCCACUGUGGCCUCCCAAAGCGCUAGGAUUACAAGCAUGAGCCACGGCAGCCAGCCCUUCUUACUAUUGCUGUCACUUCAUAUUCUGAUCUUAGCUGGGUCUUUCCUGCUGUUCAGCCCUUACACUGCCAAGCCAUCCUUUUCUUCAUCUUUCAUUGUUUUCCCCAGAGCAGAAAUGUAACUCAUAUGUACUUCUUUCAAGAUCCUAUCAUGCCUCUUCUGCCCUUCAUCACUGUGAUCGAGCUCAUCUCAAGGUGCCUGUAUCUCAAAACUCUUAUCAGUUCUUACGUACGCUCACCUCUACUUUGCCUUAGAGAAGGAAGUACUUACCUUCCUUUCCAGAGCAAUUGUCUCCUCCUCUACACUCUUAACCCACGGUGUUGCUCAUUCUCUCACGUUAUUUCAUGCUUUUUCUAAAUUCACACUACCUUUUUUCUCAGUUUCUACAAACCUAUGAAUGUAGAAACCUACCUAACCUAAAAAAGAAAUGUUCCUCUCCCUUGCUAACCAGAAGCAACAUCCCAUCUCUUCCCUUUCACCUCUGCCAAACCUGUCCUAAGAGUCCUCUAUACUGGCUACAUUCACCUCUUUAUUACUCCUUAACCACUUGCAUUCUGGCUUCCAUGAAUGAGAGAGGAGGCAACUCAUUAAAAUGAUAAGCUUUAGGAUCAGACACAACUGGGUCAAAUCCUGUGUCCAUACUUAAUUUAUACGAGGGCUUGAACAAGUCACUUAACCGCUCUCAAUCGCACUUUUCAUCUAUAAAAAGGGUGUUAAACGAGUCAGUGUAAGCAUUGAAAGAGAUAAAGCCUUUUUUUAAAAGAGGUGUUAAAGUCUCUUUUAAUCUUAUAUAGUGCCUAAUAAAUAGUAUCUGUAAAAAAGAAAAUAACCCAACCUCCCUACAUUCUACCAAGCUGCUCUUUUAAAAGUCACUAAUGACUGCCAUUCACCAAAUAAAGCAGCUUUGUCUCAUUCCUCACAUCUCUGAGCCCCUCCAUAGUAUUAGCAAUAAUAAACCUUUUUUUUUUUUUUUAAACAGAGCCUGG
rnacentral:sRNA from 1 species